GAUGUCCUGCCUGUGGAUAUGUUUGAGUCUGCUCUGCUCUGCUUUCCUGCAAAGCACUGCCUCAUCAUCAUCAGAUAAAUCUGUGUUACUGAGGUGCAAUGAAACAGUGAAAGUUGAAGCUGGAGAGAACGUGACACUAAACUGCACUAUAAUUUACCGGAAGGUGAACGCUUCAAUCUCUAACACAGCAAAAUUUAUCUGGAGUAACACAGGUGACAACAUACCAUGUGACAAUGGCUCAGGAAAAUACAUCUGUGAAUGGGAUCAG